CCUGCACCGUUUGAGAGUUUGUUCUUAUUGUCAAUACCUAUCUACACGUUCAAAAUUUUUGAAAUCAGACCAGUCAUUAAGACCGAAAAAUAAUAAAUAUUUUGUAAUUCAAUCGAGAUGGCACACCACAUGCAGCAAAUAAGCUGUGUUCACUAAUAAGCCAAUAAGCCGCUAGGGGCGAUAUAAGCUAGUUUGCGCUGCAGGCCAAGUGGCGCGUUAAUGGAAGAAGAAGGGGGCCCUAUAAGCUAGGUGUGUUAGUAAAAAAAGCACAGUUGCUUUAAGCAUAUCUCCAUCCCUCUCGCACUCACUGCGGCUGAGUAACCGGUAUCUAAUAGUCGAGGCCAUCGACUAUAGCGUUUUAUCUUGCUUUGACUAAAAAGGUGGAGCAACAAAUAUAAAACCUAUUUAGUUUAUACGCCCAGAAAUAUUGAGAACGGAAAAAACCGAGAUUGGUUCUUCUCGGUUUUAGUAUUGUUUCUUCUCACAUUUUUCUUCUCGGGUUCAUGGCGGAAGCGAUGUCGAUUUUACUAUUCCGAACUAAAAUCAAUUCCGGUUCUGUGGUUGUUGACGAGGGUCGUGAGGUGAAGACGUAGAAAAAAUAAGAGUGAGAGGAGAGAGACCAAACUCCUCUCUUGAAAUUACCUGAAAGUUAUCGAAAUAAGCGGCAUCUAAAUCGAUGCAAAUUCACUUCUUUGUAUAUGGUGGAACUGUGCGGCUUAAUGAGUGAGAACGACAAAAAACUGGAGGACUUGCUCCGGAAAUUCAACCCAAUAAAAACCCUUCCAUAUUAACAGCUAGCCUGAUGCCUGGCAAUAAGUGAAAUCGUGCGAAUAAUGAACGUAUAACGGGAAAAACGAAACAACGAAAAUGCCGCCUAAGAAGGAUUACGUCAGAAAGAAAGAGCUACAACAUAAGUGCAGAGAAGCGGGACUUUCAACGUCGGGGAAUCCUCCGAUGCCUCACGCACAUCUGGAACAAGCGACGUGCUCUACAGGCCCCGGAACGUAAUCCAAAAAAAACCCAGCAGGAAAGUUGAACUGGAAGUACAGCAAUCUACGAUCGAAGUUUCUGAAGCGCUCGUGUAUAAUUAAAUCAACCAAAAUGUACAAUUUUUUUAACGGGGAUCACAUUUAAUUAAAAUUAAAGAUGUAUUUCAAUGAAAAUUGAUAUCUGUUCGCUUAAGAUAUGCGAAUUGUUUGCUGCAAAUAAAAGUAUGCUGAGUUUUAAGUCUAGCUUUAAUCAUUUUAAUUAUAAAAACAAUCCAAAUUAUAUAUUCAAUUUACUGGAACUAAAUAU